AAAGUCUUCGCACGUCACCUUUUGACGAGGAAGAAUUCAAGGAGGAGACGACUCGCGCAGGGGUCCUGAAACAACGUUUCCGAAACCUGCCAGCAAGUGUGUUUGCUGGCGAUGAAGCUGAAAAAAUAAUGAAGGUUUACCAAGAGCUGUCUGCCUCAAGUGAACAGAAAUCGCUAAGCAGCACACCCGACAAGCAAUCGCCUGCGGAAGCUGGUGAGCAGACAAGCACAUUGGAAGCAGGCAUACAAAACAGCCAGCCUGUGCACACCAAAGCAUUGUCUCCUGAAAUAAUUACUGAAGAACCCAAGGUCAAGAAAGUAAAAAAGCGCCUAAGGCUCUAGGACUCUGUAGAGUAGUUAUUCUAUUUGCAUUUGUCCUGUAAUGUGUGGUUGGUGUGACCGUGCACUGGUCAGCUCCUUUGUAGUUUCUGGAAGCUAAUUUCUGCUAACGAUAUCACAGAGUACUAAGCCCAAUGAAUUGUGGGUCAAAUUCCUUGUUGUACAUCAAUGUAUUUUUAAGACCACCAGGUAUUUCCAAAAGUUUAAUGUUUGAUGCACUCGCUUUUAUAUACACAUAAUUUGAUUUUAUGCUAAAUUUUUUCACAAUGCCACAGCUUUUACUAUCUUGAGUACAUGUUAUCUUUAAUUUUAUUUUAAUUCUAAUCAAUUUUGCAAUUUUCUACAUGUGUUUUGGACUGCCUGAUAACUUCGAAAUUUUAACAUUUUAUGCACUCGUUUUUGUAUUACACAUGAUGAAUUUUUUUUUUUUUGCAAAGCUUUUCAUGUGUGCAUCUGCUUUUAUGCCACAGCUGUUACUAUUAGAAUAAAUUUGAAUCAAUUUUAUGUUAUUCCACAUAUUAUUUUGAAACAUUUCUCAAGAGUCAGAGUAUAGCUCACUGUUUGUUAAUUUUGCCCAAAUGCGUUACAAUAAAAUCAUUUU